rnacentral:rRNA from 1 species
UACGUAGGGGGCAAGCGUUGUCCGGAAUCAUUGGGCGUAAAGCGCGUGUAGGCGGCUGAGUAAGUCUGCUCUGAAAGCCCGGGGCUCAACCCCGGGAGGCGGGUGGAUACUGCUCAGCUCGAGUCCGGUAGGGGAGUGUGGAAUUCCCGGUGUAGCGGUGAAAUGCGCAGAUAUCAGGAGGAGCCAACAGUGGCGAAGGCAGAUCUCUGGGCCGUAACUGACGCUGAGGAGCGAAAGCAUGGGGAGCGAACAGG